rnacentral:rRNA from 1 species
AGCGAACGCUGGCGGCAGGCCUAACACAUGCAAGUCGAACGAACUCUUCGGAGUUAGUGGCGGACGGGUGAUUAACACGUGGGAACGUGCCUUUAGGUUCGGAAUAACUCAGGUAAACUUGUGCUAAUACCGAAUGUGCCCUUCGGGGGAAAGAUUUAUCGCCUUUAGAGCGGCCCGCGUCUGAUUCGCUAGUUGGUGAGGUAAAGGCUCACCAAGGCGACGAUCAGUAGCUGGUCUGAGAGGAUGAUCAUCCACAUUUGGACUGAGACACGGCCCAAACUCCUACGGGAGGCAGGAGUGGGGAAUCUUGCGCAAUGGGCGAAAGCGUGACGCAGCCAUGCCGCGUGAAUGAUGAAGGUCUUAGGAUUGUAAAAUUCUUUCACCGGGGACGAUAAUGACGGUACCCGGAGAAGAAGCCCCGGCUAACUUCGUG